AUAAUGUACAUUUUACAUUUGACCAGAAUGUAUGCGAUGGGCUGCAUCAUGGUUUUGAAGGAAAAGGUUACACUAUUUAUUACAGACAGCAAGAAAACAUCAUUGAACACCACCAACUAAUAAGACUCCAAAGGAAUAAUGGAAAAUAAGAUAUUUAAAGCUGUCAAAAAGCAGAGUUUAGAGUUCAGUGGAUUCCAUGACAGUACUUUGGAUAAUGUUAAUCAGGCAGCAAUUCUUUUCCAAAGGAUCUUAAGUGCUUUUAGAAGAGGCUAAUAAACAAAGGACAGUCACUUACUACAGAAGAGAAGCAGGGGAGAUUAAUGAUAUUCUGAGUGGCAUGACUGCACCUUACAAAGAUGUAAAACUUUAAAAAUUA